AACGAACGCUGGCGGCAUGCCUAACACAUGCAAGUCGAACGAGACCUUCGGGUCUAGUGGCGCACGGGUGCGUAACGCGUGGGAAUCUGCCCUUGGGUUCGGAACAACAGUUGGAAACGACUGCUAAUACCGGAUGAUGACUUCGGUCCAAAGAUUUAUCGCCCAGGGAUGAGCCCGCGUAGGAUUAGCUUGUUGGUGAGGUAAAAGCUCACCAAGGCGACGAUCCUUAGCUGGUCUGCGAGGAUGAUCAGCCACACUGAGACUGAGACCCGGCCCCCCCUCCUACGGGAGGCAGCAGUGGGUCCUCUUUCCCAAUGGGCGAAAGCCUGAUCCAGCAAUGCCCCUUUCUUCCUUCCUUCCUUAGCUUUCUCCCUCUCUUUUCCCCCGGAUGAUAAUGACAGUACCGGGAGACUCCGCCCCGGCUAACUCCGUGCCAGCCGCCGCCGUAACCC
rnacentral:rRNA from 1 species